rnacentral:rRNA from 1 species
ACCUUAGAUACCUAGAAAGUUUAAGCCGUCUUUCGGGACGGUUUAGGUUUCUAGGUAUUGUUAAAAGGU